rnacentral:pre_miRNA from 1 species
CUCAUCAACUGGUUGUGAUGUGCUAUCUUUGACAUAUCACAGCUAGCUUUGAUGAGCU